rnacentral:rRNA from 1 species
AUUGAACGCUGGCGGCAGGCCUAACACAUGCAAGUCGAGCGGAUGAGGGGAGCUUGCUUCUCGAUUCAGCGGCGGACGGGUGAGUAAUGCCUAGGAAUCUGCCUGGUAGUGGGGGACAACGUUUCGAAAGGAACGCUAAUACCGCAUACGUCCUACGGGGGAAAGCAGGGGACCUUCGGGCCUUGCGCUAUCAGAUGAGCCUAGGUCGGAUUAGCUAGUUGGUGAGGUAAUGGCUCACCAAGGCUACGAUCCGUAACUGGUCUGAGAGGAUGAUCAGUCACACUGGAACUGAGACACGGUCCAGACUCCUACGGGAGGAAGCAGUGGGGAAUAUUGGACAAUGGGCGAAAGCCUGAUCCAGCCAUGCCGCGUGUGUGAAGAAGGUCUUCGGAUUGUAAAGCACUUUAAGUUGGGAGGAAGGGUUGUAGAUUAAUACUCUGCAAUUUUGACGUUACCGACAGAAUAAGCACCGGCUAACUCUGUGCCAGCAGCCGCCGUAAUAC